rnacentral:rRNA from 1 species
AACAAACGCUGGCGGCGUGCAUGACACAUGCAAGUCUAACGGGAAUGUCGGCUUCGGCUGACUAGUACCGUGGCGAACGGGUGAGUAACACGUGGGUAAUCUAACCUCGAGUUUGGGAUAACCUUGCGAAAGCGAGGCUAAUACCGAAUAAGACCACGCCCUGUACGCAGGGUGCGGUAAAAGGUGGCCUCUUCCUGAAAGCUAUCACUUGAGGAUGAGCCCGCGGCCUAUUAGCUAGUUGGUAGGGUAACGGCCUACCAAGGCGACGAUGGGUAGACGGCCUGGGAGGGUGUACGGCCACACUGGCACUGAGAUACGGGCCAGACUCCUACGGGAGGCAGCAGUGGGGAAUUUUGCGCAAUGGGGGAAACCCUGACGCAGCAACGCCGCGUGAGUGAUGAAGGCCUUCGGGUCGUAAAGCUCUUUUAGUGGGGAAGAAGCCCUCCGGGACUAAUACUCCCGGGGUCUGACGGUACCCGCAGAAAAAGUUCCGGCUAACUACGUGCCAGCCGCCGCAGUAACAC